UGUUCCUCUUAUCCACUAAUAGUUUCUCACGUCCACUCACAAAACCGAGUUUGCCAGGUUCACUUCAGACUUGGAAACAGGGCACACUUCUUAUCAAAGCACAAACGAAGCACAGGGGUGUCAUCUCCCUCUCCUGUUGCAGGGGCUGACUUUGGAGUGUUCUGUCCACGCAAGGUCUCUCCAGUAACAAUGAUGUCUCAUGCACAGUAAACCCUGAAGGUUCGGGGAGGCAUUCUGUGGCCACACUGGAAAGAACCAUGGGAGUGUUUGCACUGAGUGACCCGACAGGAGAUGGAAGAGUCUGGUUUUCCUCUCCAUACUGCACCAGGCAGAUCCUUGGGAUGAGGCUUCCAGCACGCCUGCUUUUCUGAGAUGGUGACUCAUGUUUGGCAAUCUGUUUAUGUGAGGCAAAGGCCCUGGGGCACAAGUGAGGAAGUUCACUAAAGCAAAGGUGAGGACCUGUCUUAGGG
rnacentral:lncRNA from 12 species